rnacentral:rRNA from 1 species
UACGAAGGGGGCGAGCGUUGUUCGGAUUUACUGGGCGUAAAGGGCGCGCAGGCGGCUCAUUUUGUCAGGCGUGAAAGCCCCGGGCUUAACCUGGGAACUGCGUUUGAUACGGAUGGGCUAGAGUUCGGGAGAGGAGAGUGGAAUUCCCAGUGUAGAGGUGAAAUUCGUAGAUAUUCGGAAGAACACCAGUGGCGAAGGCGGCUCACUGGCCCGGUACUGACGCUGAGGUGCGAAAGCGUGGGGAGCAAACAGG